UACGUAGGGGGCAAGCGUUGUCCGGAAUCAUUGGGCGUAAAGAGCGCGUAGGCGGCCCAGUAAGUCCGCUGUGAAAGUCGAGGGCUCAACCCUCGAAUGCCGGUGGAUACUGUCGGGCUUGAGUACGGGAGAGGCGAGUGGAAUUCCUGGUGUAGCGGUGAAAUGCGCAGAUAUCAGGAGGAACACCGAUUGCGAAGGCAGCUCGCUGGAACGUUACUGACGCUGAGACGCGAAAGCGUGGGGAGCAAACAGG
rnacentral:rRNA from 1 species